rnacentral:rRNA from 1 species
GGCGUCGAGUGGCGGACGGGUGAGUAACGCGUAGGAAUCUGCCAGAUAGUGGGGGAUAGCCCGGAGAAAUCCGGAUUAAUACCGCAUAAUCUCCAUGGAGUAAAGAGGGCCUCUAUUUAUAAGCUUUCGCUAUCUGAUGAGCCUGCGUAAGAUUAGCUAGUUGGUGGGGUAAUGGCCUACCAAGGCGACGAUCUUUAGCUGGUCUGAGAGGAUGAUCAGCCACACUGGGACUGAGACACGGCCCAGACUCCUACGGGAGGCAGCAGUGGGGAAUAUUGGACAAUGGGGGCAACCCUGAUCCAGCAAUACCGCGUGUGUGAAGAAGGCCUGAGGGUUGUAAAGCACUUU